rnacentral:rRNA from 1 species
UACAGAGGUCUCAAGCGUUGUUCGGAUUCAUUGGGCGUAAAGGGCGCGUAGGCGGCGCGGUAAGUCGGGUGUGAAAUCUCGGAGCUUAACUCCGAAACUGCAUUCGAUACUGCCGUGCUUGAGGACUGGAGAGGAGACUGGAAUUUACGGUGUAGCGGUGAAAUGCGUAGAUAUCGUAAGGAAGACCAGUGGCGAAGGCGGCUCUCUGGGACGGUACUGACGCUGAGACGCGAAAGCGUGGGGAGCGAACAGG